rnacentral:rRNA from 1 species
AGAAGGCCUUCGGGUUGUAAAGUACUUUNNNNGAGGAGGAAGGUGUUGUGGUUAAUAACCGCAGCAAUUGACGUUACUCGCAGAAGAAGCACCGGCUAAAUCCGUGCCAGCAGCCG